rnacentral:lncRNA from 1 species
UGAGGCGCUCUCCUCGGUCACACAUGAUGACCUCACGCCUAGAAGCCUACCUGUAUCCUUUGUGAUACGGCGGCCAUUACCCUUCAAACUGGCCUCCUAGUGUGGCAGCAUGAGCUCUCCGAGAGAUAUUUCCUCCCAGGGAACCGAUUUUGGCCUGGAGGCUGGAGAGCACACCGAGUUCCGCCCCGCCAACCCCGCACCCCGGCGGGCACGGGUCCUGGCCCUUGAUUUUGGGCCUCCCGGGAGCGGCGAAGGUGAGGGUGUAGUCUUAGACCACGAGGGUGGUCACAACCUCGACCUCCCAGACCACAGCCUCUCUGAGCUCACCUCAGAGUCCAAGGAGGAACUGAUAGUGGCGAAAAGGGGAGUUCUUUGGGGCUUCGAAGGCCGGCCUCGUUCCCCAGCAGAUGAGGAAGAGGGCGCUACCCUGGACCUCAUGCCCCACCUCAACAUUGAAUGUGCGUCCAUAGUGCAGCAGAGGUCCAACAUGGAGGCCCAGGGCACCCGCAGGUGA